GGUGGGGGUUGGAGGUAGAGAAGUGCAGUGGUGUGAACACGGCUCACUGCAGCCUCGACCUCCUAGGCUUUGUGAUUCUCCCACCUCAACCUCCCAAGUAGCUGGGAUCACAGGCAUAUGCCACCACACCUGGCUAAUUUUUUAAUUUUUCUGUAGAGACAGGGUCUUGCUGUGUUGCCCAGGCAAAUCUCAAAUCACUGGACUCAAGUGAUUCUCGUGCCUCAGGCUCCCAAAGUGCUGAGAUUACAGGUAUGAACCACUGUGCCCAGACUUACAAAAAAAAAUGAAUUUACUUGGCUUUCUUUAUGAUGUAUGCCCAACUCCCCCAAACACCAUAUCUGAGGAGACCCUAUCUUUUUAGGCCUUUAAGAAGAUGGGUGCUGAGUAAGUGUUGCAGUCAGUCUCUAAGGAUCGAACACCUUAGGGUGCCAGGAAUGCUUGGCGCAUGUAAGCACUCAGUAGGUGGGGAAACCGAGGCCAGGAGAGAUGAAGGGACUGCCCCCAGUCCCUAGAGGGAACUGGUGAUAGUGUGUGGGCCGAGGCCAUCUCUAGGGGUCGUUCAGGGCUCCCUCCUUCCCAGCCAACCUGGGAGGUCAGGCGAGGCUCUGUCAUCGUGGAGCCUGGAGAGAGCGGCCCUUCAGGCACUUUGUGAUCAUCUUUCUUUCUUUAGCAGCCAACAGUAUCCACUGCUGGCCGAAUGCCUGCCGUGCGCCAGGCACUGUCUGGAACCCACAACCAUCUGGUUUCAAAGCUCUUUCUCUUCAUAGCCCCAGGCUGGCUAUAUCCGUCUUUUCUAUAUAGACCAAAAGUUGGCAAACAUCAGCCCUCCGGCCAAAUUUGGCCCACUAACUGCUUUUAUAAAUAAAGUUUUAUUGGAACAGAGCCAUGGCCAUUCACUUAUGCACUGUCUGUGCCUGUUUCUGCACUAUAGCAGCAGAGUUGAGUAGCUGCAAAACCGCCUGCAUGGCCCCCAAAGUCUAAAAUAUUUAUUCUUUGGGCCAGGUGUGGUGGCUCACGCCUGUAAUCCC
rnacentral:lncRNA from 1 species